rnacentral:rRNA from 1 species
AUUGAACGCUGGCGGCAGGCCUAACACAUGCAAGUCGAACGAGUGGCGGACGGGUGAGUAAUGUGUGGGAAACUGCCUGAUGGAGGGGGAUAACUACUGGAAACGGUAGCUAAUACCGCAUACCAUCGGAUGUGCCCAGAUGGGAUUAGCUAGUGGGUGGGGUAAAGGCUCACCUAGGCGACGAUGCCGAGCUGGUCUGAGAGGAUGACCAGCCAAACUGGAACUGAGCAACGGCCAAGCCUCCUAGGGGAGGAAGCAGUGGGGAAUAUUGCACAAUUGGCGCAAGCCUGAUGCACCCAUGCCGCGUGUAUGAAUGAGGCCUGCGGGUUGUAAAGUUCUUUCAGCGGGGAGGCGUUACCCGCAGAAGAAGCACCGGCUAACUCCGUGCCAGCAGCCGCGGUAAUAC